GAUAAAGGGAGAAGCAGACUCGCCACUGAGCAGGGAGCCUGAAUCCGGCCUGGAUCUCAGGACCCUGGGGAUCAUGACCUAAGCCAAAGGCACACACUUAACUGAGCCACCCAGGCUCCCACCCCACGGUUUUGUAAUUCUAUAUUAUAACAUUUUUAUACUUGUUCUUGAGUAUAAACACUCAGAUCCAAAAGAAAAAAAAGGAUGUCUUCUCAUCUUAGGUUAUCAGCAUGGGAGUUUCUGGUAUUGUGGGCUAGUUAACCCUAGGUUAAGUCAUACAAGCCCAAAGGUGAUUAAGAUCUGAGAUACCGCAAUGAGGUUGAAUCCUCUUUUGCAGGUUUCUUAGUAUUUUUUUUAAAUUAUUUAUGAUAGAGAGAGAGAGGCAGAGACACAGGCAGAGGGAGAAGCAGGCUCCAUGCACCGGGAGCCCGACGUAGGAUUCGAUCCCAGGUCUCCAGGAUCACGCCCUGGGCCAAAGGCAGGCGCCAACCCGCUGCGCCACCCAGGGAUCCCCUCUUAGUAUGGUUAUAUACGGCAGGUUUCCCAGUCCCUAUCUUUCAAGCAUAUUUUAAAAUGUUUAAAAAAACUAAAUAAAAAUUGACCUUUUUUUUUUCUAAAAACAAAGUGUCCUUGAACUAUUUAUUAGGCCACAGGUGUUGAUCAGACCUUUUUGCUCUUUGUAUAGUUUACAAAUUUUCUGGAUUGUUUAGCUGCUUUAGCAUUUAACAUUUUUAUUCAAUUCUUCACAGGUGAAAAGUACACCUAUGAAGAGUACAUCUAUAUAAUAAGUACUUUCUAUAUAAGUCUCAAGUUGGCAGUUCUGCUGGUGUAAAAUUCUCAACCUUGUGGAUCUGUCAUGGGAAUUCACUUCAUUAGACAAGAGGCUCCUCCACAGAACUUUCCUGGAUAAUCCCAUCUCUGUCCUGGGUUUUGCUGCAAUAAUUGAGAGGAUUCAUGA